rnacentral:rRNA from 1 species
GACGAACGCUGGCGGCGUGCUUAACACAUGCAAGUCGAACGAAGAGCGAUGGAAGCUUGCUUCUAUCAAUCUUAGUGGCGAACGGGUGAGUAACGCGUAAUCAACCUGCCCUUCAGAGGGGGACAACAGUUGGAAACGACUGCUAAUACCGCAUACGAUCUGACCUCGGCAUCGAGGAUAGAUGAAAGGUGGCCUCUACAUGUAAGCUAUCACUGAAGGAGGGGAUUGCGUCUGAUUAGCUAGUUGGAGGGGUAACGGCCCACCAAGGCGAUGAUCAGUAGCCGGUCUGAGAGGAUGAACGGCCACAUUGGGACUGAGACACGGCCCAGGCUCCUACGGGAGGCAGCAGUGGGGAAUCUUCCGCAAUGGACGAAAGUCUGACGGAGCAACGCCGCGUGAGUGAUGACGGCCUUCGGGUUGUAAAGCUCUGUUAAUCGGGACGAAAGGCCUUUUUGCGAAUAGUGAGAAGGAUUGACGGUACCGGAAUAGAAAGCCACGGCUAACUACGUG